rnacentral:rRNA from 1 species
CCUACGGGUGGCAGCAGUGAGGAAUAUUGGUCAAUGGCCGAGAGGCUGAACCAGCCAAGUCGCGUGAGGGAAGACGGCCCUACGGGUUGUAAACCUCUUUUGUCGGGGAGCAAAGCGAGUCACGUGUGACUCAUUGAGAGUACCCGAAGAAAAAGCAUCGGCUAACUCCGUGCAAGCAGCCGCGGUAAUACGGAGGAUGCGAGCGUUAUCCGGAUUUAUUGGGUUUAAAGGGUGCGCAGGCGGAGGUGCAAGUCAGCGGUCAAAUUGCGGGGCUCAACCCCGUACAGCCGUUGAAACUGCAGCCCUUGAGUGCGCGAGAAGUAUGCGGAAUGCGUGGUGUAGCGGUGAAAUGCAUAGAUAUCACGCAGAACUCCGAUUGCGAAGGCAGCAUACCGGCGCGCAACUGACGCUCAUGCACGAAAGCGUGGGUAUCGAACAGGAUUAGAUACCCCAGUAGUC